rnacentral:rRNA from 1 species
UACAGGGGGGGUAAGCGUUGUUCGGAAUUACUGGGCGUAAAGGGCUCGUAGGCGGCCAACUAAGUCAGACGUGAAAUCCCUCAGCUUAACUGGGGAACUGCGUCUGAUACUGGAUGGCUUGGAUUCGGGAGAGGAAUGCGGAAUUCCAGGUGUAGCGGUGAAAUGCGCAGAUAUCAGGAGGAACACCAAUUGCGAAGGCAGCUCGCUGGGACGUAACUGACGCUGAGACGCGAAAGCGUGGGGAGCAAACAGG